AAGAUUAAGCCAUGCAUGUCUAAGUAUAAGCAAUUUAUACAGUGAAACUGCGAAUGGCUCAUUAAAUCAGUUAUCGUUUAUUUGAUAGUACCUUUACUACUUGGAUAACCGUGGUAAUUCUAGAGCUAAUACAUGCUAAAAAUCCCGACUUCUGGAAGGGAUGUAUUUAUUAGAUAAAAAUCAAUGCUCUUCGGAGCUCUUUGAUGAUUCAUAAUAACUUUUCGAAUCGCAU
rnacentral:rRNA from 1 species